rnacentral:rRNA from 1 species
GAGCUCGUAGGCGGUUUGUCGCGUCUGGUGUGAAAACUCAAGGCUCAACCUUGAGCUUGCAUCGGGUACGGGCAGACUAGAGUGCGGUAGGGGUGACUGGAAUUCCUGGUGUAGCGGUGGAAUGCGCAGAUAUCAGGAGGAACACCGAUGGCGAAGGCAGGUCACUGGGCCGCAACUGACGCUGAGGAGCGAAAGCAUGGGGAGCGAACAGGAUUAGAUACCCUGGUAGUCCAUGCCGUAAACGUUGGGCACUAGGUGUGGGGCUCAUUCCACGAGUUCCGUGCCGCAGCAAACGCAUUAAGUGCCCCGCCUGG